rnacentral:rRNA from 1 species
CAGUCGCCGCGGUAAGACAGAGGAUGCAAGCGUUAUCCGGAAUGAUUGGGCGUAAAGCGUCUGUAGGUGGCUUUUCAAGUCCGCCGUCAAAUCCCAGGGCUCAACCCUGUACAGGCGGUGGAAACUACCAAGCUAGAGUACGGUAGGGGCAGAGGGAAUUUCCGGUGGAGCGGUGAAAUGCGUUGAGAUCGAAAAGAACACCAACGACGAAAGCACUCUGCUGGGUCGACACUGACACUGAGAGACGAAAGCUAGGGGAGCAAAUGGGAUUAGAUACCCCUGUAGUCCCUGUCUCUUAUAC